UAGGUGCUGUCCCCGGGCGGGGACACUGAAAAAGGAAACGAGUGCAAAUCUCGUACGGAGCCGCCGCUGUAUUUGGAGAGCUGAUGCGUUUAAAGCCACUGGCUGUCGCCGGGAAGGUCGCUGAGGCGUUGACCCAUGAGUCAGAAGACUUGCCUAUUGCAUU
rnacentral:ncRNA from 1 species